CAUCUCUCUCCUUCCCUGUUUUGGAAAAUCCAUGCUGAUGUGAAGUGAGGCAGAACGAGGGAGUCGGGAGGGAAAAGAGAGGUGGGAAAGGAAAGGCUUAACCGGCGAAGACAGAAGAUCUUCAGAGCCUUCAGCUGCACACAGAAACCUCUCUACGCUGCACCGCUUCUACGUUUUUGUGUCGGCGAGUCGAGCCAAACUGCUGGAGAGCGAUGAGGCCGAGCCGAGGGUCGCCGUGGGGACACGAACCCACACCGAGAGGCUGAACACGAAACAGACCCAGGACCAGCCAACUCACAGGAGUCACUAUCUGCAGAACAUUCAAUCAGAACCAGAGACACGGGGAGGACCAACGCUGCUUUGGUAAAAUAUCUAAUCUUUAACUGAAGGAUUAAACAGGAAGAGGCUCCACCUGGUGGAACAACCAGGAACUACAGCUGAUCUACAUUUACUGACAUGCACGACCUUCUCUUCUUCUGCCUGAUCGACCAAUAAAAUCUGCAGAAAAUAUGAAAGUUUCUGCUUUCAAAGACGCUGAGCUGUGCACCAUAAACACACGACGACGAGCCGAAUGUCGGCGACAAACAUGGUGGGUGUUGCUGUUUGUGUGGUUCUGUUUGUGUGGCGCCCUGUUUGUUUGUGCGUACUUUAAAUGGGGGCACUGGGAGGUUUGU